rnacentral:lncRNA from 1 species
GACAACCUCAUCAAAAACAGCUCAACACCAAGAAAAAAUAAGGUGCGUGAGAACUUUCCACUUACCUCGCCACAUUACGAGGGCGGCGGGCGCGCUUCGACCCCGAGCUUGACUCCGACCCCGAGACAUCCGAUAGAGGCCGCUUUCCGCUACCCCUCUGCUCGUGCGACACAAGCAGAGGGUCGGGGGUUGGUCCCGUCAAUUCCUGAGGCGCGCCCCUCGCCGACCCCUGGGGUGCGGCCUCCGAGCCCAACGGGGUCAGACCCUGGGCGGGCGGUCCACUCGAACUGUCCCUCACGACCGGCUAAGUGGUCCCGGAUGACAAGUGCUCCCGGCACGGAGGCCAGGACAUAAUCCUCCUCCUCCUCCUCCUCCUCGGUCUCGUCUUCAUCGUUGUCAUCAUCAUCGUUGUCGUCGUCGUCCGACAGGACCGCGCCCCU